CUACGGGAGGCAGCAGUGGGGAAUUUUGGACAAUGGGGGAAACCCUGAUCCAGCAAUGCCGCGUGUGUGAAGAAGGCCUUCGGGUUGUAAAGCACUUUUGUCCGGAAAGAAAACCUCUUGGCUAAUAUCUGAGGGGGAUGACGGUACCGGAAGAAUAAGCACCGGCUAACUACGUGCCAGCAGCCGCGGUAAUACGUAGGGUGCGAGCGUUAAUCGGAAUUACUGGGCGUAAAGCGUGCGCAGGCGGUUUGUUAAGACAGAUGUGAAAUCCCCGGGCUUAACCUGGGAACUGCAUUUGUGACUGGCAAGCUAGAGUAUGGCAGAGGGGGGUAGAAUUCCACGUGUAGCAGUGAAAUGCGUAGAGAUGUGGAGGAAUACCGAUGGCGAAGGCAGCCCCCUGGGCCAAUACUGACGCUCAUGCACGAAAGCGUGGGGAGCAAACAGGAUUAGAUACCCUGGUAGUCCACGCCCUAAACGAUGUCAACUAGUUGUUGGGGAUUCAUUUCCUUAGUAACGUAGCUAACGCGUGAAGUUGACCGCCUGGGGAGUACGGUCGCAAGAUUAAAACUCAAAGGAAUUGACGGGGACCCGCACAAGCGGUGGAUGAUGUGGAUUAAUUCGAUGCAACGCGAAAAACCUUACCUACCCUUGACAUGGUCGGAACCCUGCUGAAAGGUGGGGGUGCUCGAAAGAGAACCGGCGCACAGGUGCUGCA
rnacentral:rRNA from 1 species